GCUGUGUUGACCAUUAAGUGGCGUUGCCGGUAUGCUGGCGUUUAGCGCGGCUAUGGCUCGUCGGAUUGGGGGUUGGUUCUUGCCACUUGCCGAUCUUUUCGGUUGAACAAACAAAUAAAUCAUACCGGACUUCAAACUAAAUUAAAAAAGGGGGUAAAAAGAAGCCUGAAACAUGUCAACAAAAAAAAUUAAAAAGAAAACGUUCACCUAACUACAACCAAAUCCCAAAAUAACAUUAGUUUUCUUCACAGAAACAGUGCUCCUGGCGGCUGACCAGCCAGGAGAUAGCCCUCCCUCCGAGAACACCUCUCGCCAUGACGUCUACUAUACUUGACGUCCCAGAUCUGACCCUUGACUUACCACAUUUUAUAUCAUUACCACCACCUUUUUAAACAGGGCUUUAAGCCAAAGACAUAUUUAUAUUUUCUGUAUAAAAUUGGUACAUUUUAUUUAAAUUACUUUAAAUUCCCAAAUAACAAUUCGUAGAAAAAAUUACAUGCUAACUUUAACGUAUGCGUUCAACUUUAAUUAUGAAUUCAAUUCAAUGAACAAGUACAAUUUUGCCAAAAAUUACAAGAAAAACUUUACUUUUUCUUCUUUUAGACUGCGAUUUCUGAUGACAAAAAUUAGGGUGCAAUAAUGGCGGCUUGCAAUUGUGGUUCUUCCCAACAAGUAUGUACAAAAGGCAAACAAAGAUGGAGUGUCGAUAGCACUUAAAAUCGACGAACGGAUUAAAAGCCUGGUUACCUAACCUUGAAUAGAGCUCUGUUCAACGUCGUGUACCUACAGACUAACCAAAAGGUGAUUAAAAUUUAAAAUUUACUUCAUUUGUUUCCCCUUCUAAUUCAUAUUUCUCCAUUUUUUUACAGGAAAAAACCGCGGAAUUUAAUUAUGAUGCUUCGUCGUCCGUCUGUCUGUCCGAGGUUUCUUGUACAAAAUGUCGGUUGGGAAUACCAAGCCACGCUGGGUUAGCAAUGGCGCAAAAUCAGCGGCUCCCUCGAUGGAUUGGAUGGGCGAUGGUGUGGCUUGUAGGCUCCAAUUCUCCAUGAAUUUUUAGGUUUAAGAUUUAUUUUCUUGGUUUAGAUUUUUAGUUAAUUGUUUUGGUUUUUCUUUUCAAUUUUGUUAAAUUGUUUCCAAAUUUUGUUUUAAUUUUAAGAAAAGUUCAAUUUGUCUUUUAAUUUUCAAUUUUUGUGAAAAUUAUUCGUUUUGUUAUAAGUUUUAUUUCAACUU